UGAACGAUAAACCACGAAUAUCUUACCUAACCUUAGUUUGUAUACCGUCAUUAUUAGAUAACUUUGAUAAAAUUAGUUAUUGGAAUUAUUAAAAUAAGUAAAUUAGAUCAAGGUGCAGUUUAUGGAUAGGAGAAGAUGGGUUACAUUAAUAAUAGUUUAAACGGAUUUAUUUAUGAAAUUAAAUAAUGAAGGUGGAUUUAAUUGUAAUAUUAAUAAUUUUAAUAAUUUGAUAUAGGCUCUAAAAUAUGUACAUAUCGCCCGUCGCUCGCGGGAAAAA
rnacentral:rRNA from 1 species